GGACCCGCGCUCUCUGGAAGCACCGCCUCUCGCUCAGGUGCGGACCUCAGUCUGUAGGGGGAGCGCGCAGCCUGGCCCAAGCCCGGCUAAAAGCCACAAGGCGCUGAGUUUCGGGAUGUAGGAGUUUUGGAAAAUCAUCUUGCACUGGGCUCUGCCUUCAGGCAAACGUGUCAUUUUCAAAAGCGAAUUGGCCAACAGAAUAGUUAUUACCUGUCUCUAUACCACGGCCUGUGAAACUUCUCAGAGUUCAGGGAAGCAGCUCCCAGAGUAUCAUUCUCAUACUACGUGUCUGGAGUGGUCCUAAAGAUAAUUGGAUAUCAUAAGUCUCCUGGAAAAAGCAAUCAAGAUCUCUCCAAAGUUUUAGCAUCAGUUCCUUUCUUUCCUCUUCUUUUGCCCUGUGUACUCUUGAUAAUAAUCUGGUGUCACUCAUACUCAGGAUGCAACAUGCUCCUAGCUUGGCUUAAAACUGUAUUAUACACCUUCCUAUAUGCAAGUUUUAGAGGUGUGGCACCCUCUCGAUCUGGAAAAUCCGCAUAAAAUUUUGUGGCCUUUUCUUAGCAGUGAAUAAAUCUGAAUUAUUAUGGAAUUAAAAAGAUAAAA